AAAGCGUGCGCAGGCGGCUUUGCAAGACAGAGGUGAAAUCCCCGGGCUCAACCUGGGAACUGCAUUUGUGACUGUAUAGCUGGAGUGCGGCAGAGGGGGAUGGAAUUCCGCGUGUAGCAGUGAAAUGCGUAGAUAUGCGGAGGAACACCGAUGGCGAAGGCAAUCCCCUGGGCCUGCACUGACGCUCAUGCACGAAAGCGUGGGGAGCAAACAGGAUUAGAUACCCUAGU
rnacentral:rRNA from 1 species